ACUCUUUACGGAGAUGGCAUUCCUCCUUUAACCAUCGGCGCAAGCCGAUUGAUGAUGCCUACAGGUCC
rfam:Candidimonas bauzanensis strain CGMCC 1.10190 genome assembly, contig: Ga0070552_108